rnacentral:miRNA from 8 species
UAAAGUGCUGACAGUGCAGAUA